CUUUGGCUCAGAUUAAAUCUUUACAAAACAAACUUUGCAAACAUGCAUGCAACCGCAGCCUUACUACCAGUUUGGCUACAAAGGUCUUCUGUUCCCAGGAGUAUUCACAGAGGAAGUUUCCCUGGGACCAGCUGACACGGCAGCACUGCAAAGCUGAGUGAGGAGAGAGUGAGUUCCCUCAUGCCAACAGCAGCAGCCCCUGGGUGGGUUCAACAAAACAGUUGGUGGCAGAGCCCCUGUGUCUUCAGCAACCAGUAUUUUCUGCUCCAAGGAGGUUAUUGUCUAACAGGCACCUUAUCCAACAGGGUUGAUGCUGAGCAAACUGGCUUUCAUCCACCAAACCACUUAAGCUCAUGCUCAUCUUGGGUCGUCAAUCUUUCCACUGAGAUUUCUGAAUAA
rnacentral:lncRNA from 1 species